rnacentral:rRNA from 1 species
AUUGAACGCUGGCGGCAGGCUUAACACAUGCAAGUCGAGGGGAGCGGCAGACUGGUGAGUAACUCGUGGGAACGUACCUUUUGGUUCGGAACAACACCGGGAAACUUGUGCUAAUACCGGAUACCGAAAGAUCGGCCCGCGUCUGAUUAGCUAGUUGGUAGGGUAAUGGCCUACCAAGGCGACGAUCAGUAGCUGGUCUGAGAGGAUGAUCAGCCACAUUGGGACUGAGACACGGCCCAAACUCUUACGGGAGGCAGCAGUGGGGAAUAGUGGACAAUGGGGGAAACCCUGAUACAGACAUGCCGUGUGAGUGAUGAAGGCACUAGGGUUGUAAAGCUCUUUUGUGCGAGAAGCGGUACCGAAAGAAUAAGCCCCGGCUAACUUCGUGCCAGCAGCCGCGGUAAUAC